rnacentral:rRNA from 1 species
GAUGAACGCUGGCGGCGUGCCUAAUACAUGCAAGUCGAGCGAACGGACGAGAAGCUUUCUUCUCUGAUGUUAGCGGCGGACGGGUGAGUAACACGUGGAUAAACUACCUAUAAAACUGGGAUAACUUCGGGAAACCGUAGCUAAUACCGGAUAAUAUUUUGAACCGCAUGGUUCAAAAGUGAAAGACGGUCUUGCUGUCACUUAUAGAUGGAUCCGCGCUGCAUUAGCUAGUUGGUAAGGUAACGGCUUAACAAGGCAACGAUGCAUAGCCGACCAGAGAGGGUGAUCUGCCAAACAGGAACUGAGACACAGUCCAGACUCCAGCAGUGAGAAGCAGUAUGGAAUCUUCCGCGAUUGACGAAAGCCUGACGGAGCAACGCCGCGUGAUUGAUGAAGUUCUUCGGAUCGUAAAACUCUGUUAUUAGGGAAGAACAUAUGUGUAAGUAACUGUGAACAUCUUGACGGUACCUAAGCAGAAAGCCACGGCUAACUACGUG